rnacentral:lncRNA from 1 species
UGGAACUAAACUUAAUCUUUCUAAUGCUUUUAGCAUGUUUCAUGCAUCAUGAUUAUGCAAUAGAUUGAUUGCAUUAGAAUUCACGAUUAUGUGCAUUGCAUUAUUUCUUGUAUUUGCGAACGGACAUAGAGCUUGUUUCAUUAGCCCUCCCAGUAAAGUCCUGAGGAGCCCCAUUGAGGGCCGGGCACAGUAAAGUCCUGAGGAGCCCCGAGAGGGCUGGGCACAGAGUACUUCGGUACUAUUGAUUGUAUAGUAAAGUCCUGAGGAGCUCCUUCGCGGGCCGGGCACUGAGGGAUUUUUUAUUCAGUCCAUUCGGUAUGUGAUUACUUGUGCUGUGAUGCAUUCCAUG